UUCAUUGUGUUCGCAUGCUCUUCACCGUGCUCCUGCCCACUCUGCUUUUCACCUGCCCCCUGAUAACCCUUUCAGUCCUGAAAGAUCCUUAGUGUCUGGAUUUCAUCAUCCAGCCCUGCAGGAUGCUCCCAUUUCUCCUGACGAUGGCUGUCCCAGACAGAGAGGAGGAGAUGGAGGUAGAUACAAAGAUUGAUAUGGAGGAGAAGAUGGAAAUAGACGGAGAAGACCCUGGAGAGGAAGAGAUGGAUGUGGAUGUGGAGGAGGAAGAAGAGAUGGACGUGUAUGUGGAUGAGGAAGAAGAGAUGGAUGUGGAUAUGGAAGAGUCCAUUGAGGACAUGGAUAUUGAUUAAAAAGGUGCGAUGGACAGCACAGACAGAGACGCCAACCUUUGUAUAUAUGUUCUACAGUUUGUUGUUGUUCUUUAGAAUGUAGAUUUUAGGGCUAUUUUUGACUUCUGUAAAUACAUUUCAGAUAUUUUUG